CAAACGAUCCCUAAAGGUUGAUGCGGGGUGAUAAUUGUUGCCUUGAUAGUGGCGGUCAAUAGUUGUGAUGGGUGAUGUUCCUCUCGCUAUCCUUUGCUCCUUUUUCUGGUGUAUUUGGACGUUGGGGAACUACAUUA